rnacentral:rRNA from 1 species
ACCAGACUCCUACGGGAGGCAGCAGUGGGGGAUAUUGCACAAUGGGGGGAACCCUGAUGCAGCGACGCCGCGUGGGUGAAGAAGCGCCUCGGCGCGUAAAGCCCUGUCAGCAGGGAAGAAAAUGACGGUACCUGAAGAAGAAGCCCCGGCUAACUACGUGCCAGCAGCCGCGGUAAUACGUAGGGGGCAAGCGUUAUCCGGAUUUACUGGGUGUAAAGGGGGCGCAGACAGCGAUGCAAGCCAGGAGUGAAAGCCCGGGGCCCAACCCCGGGACUGCUCUUGGAACUGCGUGGCUGGAGUGCAGGAGGGGCAGGCGGAAUUCCUGGUGUAGCGGUGAAAUGCGUAGAUAUCAGGAGGAACACCGGUGGCGAAGGCGGCCUGCUGGACUGCAACUGACGUUGAGGCCCGAAAGCGUGGGGAGCAAACAGGAUUAGAUACCCGCGUAU